CAAAACUCCAUUUUCUUUCUUGUUCCCCUCUACCGUAGAUCUUCUUCUUCAUAUUUUGUUAAUUUUCUCGUAUCUGAUGUAAUUUGUUUAUUGCCCUUUGAUUUCUUUAACAGCAUAUUUCUGAUUUUUUAAAAAAAAAUCUUUUUCAGGCUGGAAAUCAAGACUCGACACAAAGAGAAAGGAGAGAAACAUUUAAUUUUUGGUUGCUGUUCAAUUUCUCAGUUUUUUUUACAGAUUAAUCGUGCUGCUGCACUUGGAUUUCUA
rnacentral:lncRNA from 1 species